rnacentral:rRNA from 1 species
AGCGGCGGACGGGUGAGUAAUGCCUGGGAAAUUGCCCUGAUGUGGGGGAUAACCAUUGGAAACGAUGGCUAAUACCGCAUAAUAGCUUCGGCUCAAAGAGGGGGACCUUCGGGCCUCUCGCGUCAGGAUAUGCCCAGGUGGGAUUAGCUAGUUGGUGAGGUAAGGGCUCACCAAGGCGACGAUCCCUACUGGUCCGAGAGGAUGAUCAGCCACACUGGAACUGAGACACGGUCCAGACUCCUACGGGAGGCAGCAGUGGGGAAUAUUGCACAAUGGGCGCAAGCCUGAUGCACCAUGCCGCGUGUAUGAAGAAGGCCUUCGGGUUGUAAAGUACUUUCAGCAGUGAGGAAGGCGGGUGUGUUAAUAGCACAUUCGUUUGACGUUAGCUGCAGAAGAAGCACCGGCUAACUCCGUGCCAGCAGCCGCGGUAAUACGGAGGAUGCGAGCGUUAAUCGGAAUUACUGGGCGUAAAGCGCAUGCAGGUGGUUUGUUAAGUCA